AGAGUUUGAUCCUGGCUCAGAUUGAACGCUGGCGGAAUGCUUUACACAUGCAAGUCGAACGGCAGCACGGGAGCUUGCUCCUGGUGGCGAGUGGCGAACGGGUGAGUAAUAUAUCGGAACAUAUCCUAUCGUGGGGGAUAACUAGUCGAAAGACUAGCUAAUACCGCAUACGUCCUGAGGGAGAAAGCGGGGGCUCGCAAGACCUCGCGCGAUUGGAGUGGCCGAUAUCUGAUUAGCUAGAUGGUGAGGUAAAGGCUCACCAUGGCUUCGAUCAGUAGCUGGUCUGAGAGGAUGAUCAGCCACACUGGGACUGAGACACGGCCCAGACUCCUACGGGAGGCAGCAGUGGGGAAUUUUGGACAAUGGGCGAAAGCCUGAUCCAGCCAUUCCGCGUGAGUGAAGAAGGCCUUCGGGUUGUAAAGCUCUUUCGGCAGGAACGAAACGGCGGAUAUUAAUACUAUCCGUUACUGACGGUACCUGAAGAAGAAGCACCGGCUAACUCCGUGCCAGCAGCCGCGGUAAUAC
rnacentral:rRNA from 1 species